GUGCCAGGUCAGGAGUCCGGAGUCGGCUGAAGCGAGUUCCCGCGUUCUCUCUGGCGGCGCGACACCGGCCCGUGGACCGCCCGGCCGCCCUUCGGGACCCGGUCUGCAGGAGCGGAGAGGGCGGUGUGGACACCCCCUGCAGGCAUCCAUAUGGUCUCUGUAUUUACCAGUGGCUGGAAGCUCGCUUCGUACAUUACUCUGCACGACACCACAUGACUGCUCCUGACAGUAAUUUGAGGAGCUUCUGAUGAUGCACAGAAACAGAUUCCACUAACCAUCGCCAAAGGCAGGACCUGUGAACAACUGAAGCACCUCCUGGUCUCUGCUCUGCUGAGCCUUCCAUAGCAAAUCCCAGGCAAACAGGGUCCUGAGGAUUGAUGGCACCUGGCAGCAGGUGUGACCUUCCACAACAUUCUCUUAUGCGUCUCUG
rnacentral:lncRNA from 1 species